UACGGAGGGUGCAAGCGUUAUCCGGAUUCACUGGGUUUAAAGGGUGCGUAGGUGGGUUGGUAAGUCAGUGGUGAAAUCCCCGAGCUUAACUUGGGAACUGCCAUUGAUACUAUCAGUCUUGAAUACCGUGGAGGUUAGUGGAAUAUGUCAUGUAGCGGUGAAAUGCUUAGAUAUGACAUAGAACACCAAUUGCGAAGGCAACUGACUACACGAGUAUUGACACUGAGGCACGAAAGCGUGGGGAUCAAACAGG
rnacentral:rRNA from 1 species